rnacentral:rRNA from 1 species
UACGUAGGGUGCAAGCGUUAAUCGGAAUUACUGGGCGUAAAGCGUGCGCAGGCGGUUCGUUGUGUCGGUGGUGAAAUCCCCGGGCUUAACCUGGGAAUGGCCAUGGAAACUGGCGAACUGGAGUGCGGCAGAGGGGGGUGGAACUCCGAGUGUAGAGGUGAAAUUCGUAGAUAUUCGGAAGAACACCAGUGGCGAAGGCGGCUCACUGGUCCGGUACUGACGCUGAGGUGCGAAAGCGUGGGGAGCAAACAGG